UGGGGAAUAUUGCACAAUGGAGGGAACUCUGAUGCAGCGACGCCGCGUGAACGAAGAAGGCUUUCGAGUCGUAAAGUUCUUUUAUAUGGGAAGAUAAUGACGGUACCAUAAGAAAAAGCCCCGGCUAACUACGUGCCAGCAGCCGCGGUAAUACGUAGGGGGCUAGCGUUGUCCGGAAUAACUGGGCGUAAAGGGUUCGCAGGCGGAAAUGCAAGUCAGGUGUAAAAGGCAGUAGCUUAACUACUGUAAGCAUUUGAAACUGCAUAUCUUGAGAAGAGUAGAGGUAAGUGGAAUUUUUAGUGUAGCGGUGAAAUGCGUAGAUAUUAAAAAGAAUACCGGUGGCGAAGGCGACUUACUGGGCUCAUUCUGACGCUGAGGAACGAAAGAGUGGGUAGCAAACAGG
rnacentral:rRNA from 1 species